CAGCACCUCAAGUGGUCAGGAUGAUUAUUGGGCCUAAAGCAUCCGUAGCCGGCUCUGUAAGUUUUCGGUUAAAUCUGUACGCUCAACGUACAGGCUGCCGGGAAUACUGCAGCGCUAGGGAGUGGGAGAGGUAGACGGUACUCGGUAGGAAGGGGUAAAAUCCUUUGAUCUAUUGAUGACCACCUGUGGCGAAGGCGGUCUACCAGAACACGACCGACGGUGAGGGAUGAAAGCUGGGGGAGCAAACCGGAUUAGAUACCCGAGUAGUCC
rnacentral:rRNA from 1 species